UGCUCAUAAGGUGUUCGACAAAAUGUUUCUUCCAACAGUAGGUUUAAAUUCGUGCACUUUAUUUCACAUAAUGUUUGCUUGUCUUAUCUUUUGCAAUUGCUAUAAGUUUUGUUCUUCAUUUGAAUGAAAUUAGGCUAGGGUAGAUUAGCUUUCUUUAAUGCUCUAAGUUACAUUCCAUGCUUAGUUUCAUUACAUGCUUAGUUUCAAUAUCGCUACUAGUAUUUCAUGUUUGGAAAUAGAUUUAAGCGAGAAGUUUGCAGGCUGACGACAUCUUUGCCAUGUGCAAUUCAAUCUUUGUAGGAUCUUGAAGCACAAACAAAGUGAUUGUUUGUGCUUUAUCUAAGUGAUUGUUUGAACAGUUUUAUAGCAUGCAUCUUGACAAUUAAUAUAAUUUUGAAGAUCACUAUCAAGGAAGAAUGUUCAAAGGAAAGUAAAGGCUAAGGAGAAGAUCACGUAAUUAACUACACGGGUCUAGUGAAAAUACUGAAGAAGUAUGACAAGAGAACAGAAGCACUUAUCAGGCAGCCCUUCAUCGAAAAGCAGAAUGUGACGGACAAAAUGGAGUGCCAAAGCCGGCACAAUCAGGUGGGAGGGUUCCGGAGUUGGAGGAGAUUAAAUAUAUGCAGAGCUUAUACAUGAAGAGCACCGUAGCAGCGCUGCGGUCCUUGAAACAGAUUAGGAGCAAAAGUUCAACAGUCAAAACAGAUUAGAAAAU